rnacentral:rRNA from 1 species
AGUGAACGCUGGCGGUAGGCCUAACACAUGCAAGUCGAACGGCAGCACAGUAAGAGCUUGCUCUUACGGGUGGCGAGUGGCGGACGGGUGAGGAAUACAUCGGAAUCUACUUUUUCGUGGGGGAUAACGUAGGGAAACUUACGCUAAUACCGCAUACGCCCUACGGGUGAAAGCAGGGGAUCUUCGGACCUUGCGCGAUUGAAUGAGCCGAUGUCGGAUUAGCUAGUUGGCGGGGUAAAGGCCCACCAAGGCGACGAUCCGUAGCUGGUCUGAGAGGAUGAUCAGCCACACUGGAACUGAGACACGGUCCAGACUCCUACGGGAGGCAGCAGUGGGGAAUAUUGGACAAUGGGCGCAGGCCUGAUCCAGCCAGACCGCGUGGGUGAAGAAGGCGUUCGGGUUGUAAAGCCCUUUUGUUGGGAAAGAAAAGCAGCAGGUUGAUACCCCGCUGUUCUGACGGUACCCAAAGAAUAAGCACCGGCUAACUUCGUG